rnacentral:lncRNA from 1 species
CUUCUAGAAGUACACAGUCUAAUGGUGAGAUAGGCAGGAGCCUGACAUCAUGGUGAGCAUCGAGAAAGGAAUAACCUAAGCUGAAGACACGCCUUUUCUUCAGGAGGCCAAGUUCCACGUUCUGUGCAUGCUUUUGGCGAAAGUCAGGCUGUGGCUUGCCUUUUCACUUCUUGUGUCCUGUUUAAGAAAUAUCUACUAUCCCAAGCAUCUGGCAUCUUUCUUGACACAUGUAGCAGUUGCUUUUUGACAGCUUGCUUCUUCAGUGAAUGAAUAAAUUAAUAAAGAGAAAUGUGAUGUUCAGUGAUCCAUUUUGCAGAUUGCAAACUCCUAGAGAAGGGCUCAACAGUGAGUGCUGAGGCUGCACAGAGGAGGAAGGCAGCACAAUGAUGGAAGGCUUCCUAAAGAGAUAACACUAACAAAGUUGACCUUAGAAUUGGAGUGCCUGGGUUAGAACCCUGCUGGUACCACCUGCUUACUGCAUGCUUCUGAUGUGAGUUCAGGAGAAGACACUGGCAAGGACAGCAAAGAACAGGAGAACACUCUAGCUUCCCUGAUAGCAUUCAAGGUGCUGUCCAAACUGACUGUGAUGGCACCCUCCAGACAGACAGCGAUGCCACAUGUUCAAGAUGGCAGAAUCACUAUCAGCUUCAAUUCCUGAAUGACUGCAGAGCAAAAUUUCUUACCCGCAACAUACACUCUAUUUUCAGCCUCCCUGGACUGUUACAUAAUGAUACAUAAAAAUAUUUCUUGUGUUGAGGCAUCCCAAAUUUGAUCUAUUUGUCAUCACAGUCUAUCCUCUGAAUAUAUUUCUGAUCCAAA